GCGCAGCAGGCGAGAAAACUUCACAAUGUGCGAAAGCACGAUGAGGGAAUCCCAAGUGCUUGCACGUAAGUGUAAGCUGUUUCUCUGUCUAAAACGCAGAGAGAGUAAGGGCUGGGUAAGACGGGUGCCAGCCGCCGCGGUAAUACCUGCAGCUCGAGUGGUGACCGUUAUUAUUGGGCCUAAAACGUCCGUAGCCGGUUUAAUAAAUGCCUGGGUAAAUCGGACCGCUUAACGGUUCGAAUUCCGGGUAGACUGUUAAACUUGAGACCGGGAGAAGUUAGAGGUACUCCUGGGGUAGAGGUGAAAUUCUGUAAUCCUAGGGGGACCACCAGUGGCGAAGGCGUCUAACUAGAACGGGUCUGACGGUGAGGGACGAAGCCCUGGGGCGCAAAC
rnacentral:rRNA from 1 species